rnacentral:rRNA from 1 species
AUUGCCCUAGUAACGGCGAGUGAAGCGGCAACAGCUCAAAUUUGAAAUCUGGCUCUCGGGCCCGAGUUGUAAUUUGUAGAGGAUGCUUUUGGUGCGGUGCCUUCCGAGUGCCCUGGAACGGGACGCCAUAGAGGGUGAGAGCCCCGUCUGGUUGGAUGCCAAUCCUCUGUAAAGCUCCUUCGACGAGUCGAGUAGUUUGGGAAUGCUGCUCUAAAUGGGAGGUAUAUGUCUUCUAAAGCUAAAUACCGGCCAGAGACCGAUAGCGCACAAGUAGAGUGAUCGAAAGAUGAAAAGCACUUUGAAAAGAGAGUUAAAAAGUACGUGAAAUUGUUGAAAGGGAAGCGUUUAUGACCAGACUUGGGCUUGGUUAAUCAUCCAGGGUUCUCCCUGGUGCACUUUUCCAGUCCAGGCCAGCAUCAGUUUGCUUCGGGGGAUAAAGGCUUCGGGAAUGUGGCUCUCUCCGGGGAGUGUUAUAGCCCGUUGCGUAAUACCCUGGGGCGGACUGAGGUACGCGCUUCUGCAAGGAUGCUGGCGUAAUGGUCAUCAACGACCCGUCUUGAAACACGGACCAAGGAGUCGUCUUCGUAUGCGAGUGUUCGGGUGUCAAACCCCUACGCGUAAUGAAAGUGAACGCAGGUGAGAGCUUCGGCGCAUCAUCGACCGAUCCUGAUGUUCUCGGAUGGAUUUGAGUAAGAGCAUACGGGGCCGGACCCGAAAGAAGGUGAACUAUGCUUGUAUAGGGUGAAGCCAGAGGAAACUCUGGUGGAGGCUCGCAGCGGUUCUGACGUGCAAAUCGAUCGUCAAAUAUGAGCAUGGGGGCGAAAGACUAAU